ACAGCCUCAUCAGCCAUGACCUACCCUCUUAUUUUCUUCCCCCGUAUCUUCACAUUUCUAGAUAGCAGUCUGAAAGCAUAAAAUCUGAGGACAUGACAUUUGAAGGCAGAACAUCUGGGAUAUUAAAGGCUGCCAAAAUGCAGAAGCUAAAAAUGGAAAGGACCUUCUCCCAUUACCAGAAUAUUUGCUGGUUUCUGGAAAAAAAGGGGACUGGAGUCAAGGGAUAAAGCCAAGUCAGGACCAAACUAAGAGGCAAGGCUGAAGAGCAAGCUAUAAAUCAGGACCAGAGGAAGACAAAAGGAUACAGGAAUGCACCAAAGCUCAUCAGGACUAUACUGCUCAGGCAAGGCUCAACUGGAACAGGAAGACUUCUUCUACUCCUUCCUGUCCAGGAAGAUCCAAUGGCCAGUUUUGGAAGGAAGGGUUUGACCAAGUUGGGAGUUGCCAACCUGUUGCCCAUAAGCAGCAUAGUAA